GCUACCAUGCAGUCGAGGGGCAGCAUUUCAGUUUGNUUGCAAACUGGAGAUGGCGACCGGCGCNNUGGUGAGCUAACACGCNAUCCNACCUGCCGAUAACUCGGGGANAGCCUUUCGAAAGAAAGAUUAAUACCCGAUGGUAUAAUCAGACCGCAUGGUCUUGUUAUUAAAGAAUUUCGGUUAUCGAUGGGGAUGCGUUCCAUUAGGCAGUUGGUGAGGUAACGGCUCACCAAACCUUCGAUGGAUAGGGGUUCUGAGAGGAAGGUCCCCCACAUUGGAACUGAGACACGGUCCAAACUCCUACGGGAGGCAGCAGUGAGGAAUAUUGGUCAAUGGGCGCAGGCCUGAACCAGCCAAGUAGCGUGAAGGAUGACUGCCCUAUGGGUUGUAAACUUCUUUUAUAUGGGAAUAAAGUUUUCCACGUGUGGAAUUUUGUAUGUACCAUAUGAAUAAGGAUCGGCUAACUCCGUGCCAGCAGCCGCGGUAAUACGGAGGAUCCGAGCGUUAUCCGGAUUUAUUGGGUUUAAAGGGAGCGUAGGUGGACAGUUAAGUCAGUUGUGAAAGUUUGCGGCUCAACCGUAAAAUUGCAGUUGAUACUGGCUGUCUUGAGUACAGUAGAGGUGGGCGGAAUUCGUGGUGUAGCGGUGAAAUGCUUAGAUAUCACGAAGAACUCCGAUUGCGAAGGCAGCUCACUGGACUGCAACUGACACUGAUGCUCGAAAGUGUGGGUAUCAAACAGGAUUAGAUACCCUGGUAGUCCACACAGUAAACGAUGAAUACUCGCUGUUUGCGAUAUACAGUAAGCGGCCAAGCGAAAGCAUUAAGUAUUCCACCUGGGGAGUACGCCGGCAACGGUGAAACUCAAAGGAAUUGACGGGGGGCCCGCACAAGCGGAGGAACAUGUGGUUUAAUUUCGAUGAUACGCGAGGAACCUUACCCGGGCUUAAAUUGCAUUUGAAUAUAUUGGAAACAGUAUAGCCGUAAGGCAAAUGUGAAGGUGCUGCAUGGUUGUCGUCAGCUCGUGCCGUGAGGUGUCGGCUUAAGUGCCAUAACGAGCGCAACCCUUAUCUUUAGUUACUAACAGGUCAUGCUGAGGACUCUAGAGAGACUGCCGUCGUAAGAUGUGAGGAAGGUGGGGAUGACGUCAAAUCAGCACGGCCCUUACGUCCGGGGCUACACACGUGUUACAAUGGGGGGUACAGAAGGCAGCUACCUGGUGACAGGAUGCUAAUCCCAAAAGCCUCUCUCAGUUCGGAUCGAAGUCUGCAACCCGACUUCGUGAAGCUGGAUUCGCUAGUAAUCGCGCAUCAGCCAUGGCGCGGUGAAUACGUUCCCGGGCCUUGUACACACCGCCCGUCAAGCCAUGAAAGCCGGGGGUACCUGAAGUACGUAACCGCAAGGAGCUCCUA
rnacentral:rRNA from 1 species